GAAAUAGCGUUGUGAAAAAUAAACUGCAGCCCGGCUGAAUGCGAGUCAGAAAGAAGGGCAGGAAAGGCCAGCCAGAAAGCACAGCACAGCUUGUGUGGAGACCUGAAGGAGAUGGUCUGAGUACUUAUCAAUGCCUGCAGGUAUGUGGCAGGGAAGAUUAGGAGCCUAUGUGGCAGAAGAGAUGAGGAGGAGCCUUCUAGCUGCACAGCCCAGCCAGCUGACCACAACCAGAGCCAAAAUGUAAAUACAGUGACAUCAGAAGGCCCGCGAGUGACAGACUCAGUCACCAGGAAUAAUGGUCUCAUCCUUGAACAGCCCUGUGGAUCCUGAGGGUAGCUGGCCUUGUGUUCUUCCUUGGCAGCCCUAGAGCCACCAUUUUCACUGACCAUGCCUUGCUCCUGUUCCCCCAGGGAUUAGAAAUGUUUCACCCACAAAUCCACCCAGCAUCACCUUUGUACAAUGAUACAUGUUGUCCUUCUUCACCUCUUGCUGCCAGGACUUCCCUGCAUGGAACAUGAAUUAAAACACCUGAGCAGCAGCUGCAGCUCCUGGCUGUCAGGGGCUUGCUCCAUGCCCUUUAUGUCCCAUGUUUGGGCCAGACAGCACAAUAGAAAAGUGUUUUUCUGUAGUGUGUAGAGCCAAAUUCUGUUUCCAUUUAUGUUAGUGUUAAUCCAGCAUUGCUUCCCUGCCUGUCAGGUGUUAUAGUUUCCUUGACUGCAGUGGAGCUAUGCCAAUUUACAACCAAGACUGGCCCAACAGAAAUCCCCCCAAUUCUGGUAGUGCUUUGAACACAGCCAGACUCUCCCUUCCACAGAUGAAAGUGGUGACCUUGCUACCCAGGUUCAACACUAGACCAUGCAAAGUAGGCAUUGGAGGGCCCAGCUCUUGAUAUGUGGUGAGCAAAUUUCCUUUCUUAUGAGAAACUCUUCCUGUAUUGUCACAGUGAGCAAUGAAGACAGCUUCACAAACUCCCAUUGUGUGGAGAUGAAUGUGUCCGAAUCCUUCCUGUGAUGCACACCCAGAAUUCAAACAGAAAUAAAGACUAAAAUCAAAACUGAAAAAA